ACCAGCUCAAACCACCCCUCCAUUUUACUUACAUGCACACCAGUGCAACAUAUUUGGAUUAAUCCAUUUAACUGUGACGGACCAUGAGAGAGGAAAAUGCCUCCAGCACAAUGAAUAUCUUGGAUAUUGAUGACGACAUACACGUCAAGUCCAGAACAAGAGAUGGCUUUCAAUAUUCAGUAUAUUUUCAGUGGUGGAAGAGAACAUUCGGAGUUGCUGCAUUGUGUCUUGGAUUGUUGUGUAUUCUCCUACUGGCUGGGAUCAUAGGCCUGUGUGUACACUUCACUGGUCAGCAUUACUGUGACGAAAGAGACCAGUUACAGACCAGCUACAACAACCUGACUAAAGAGAGAGACCAGCUACAGACCAGCUACAACAACCUGA